AUGUGCCACGUCCACCCUGCGAUGCCCCCAGAUCUUCCCUCUUGCCACCUUCUCCCAGCGUGUGAUUGGGGGAGGGCACCGUGCUCUCUUCCCGCCUCAGCUCUGAGCACAGAGCCGGGGGCCGUUGCUCCAGAGACCAGGAGGCGCCCGAGGAUGGGGCGUCUGGCUCCAGCAGUCAGCCCUGACUUCCGGGACUCACCCCUGGGUGCCCACCCCCCGCACAUCGAUGUCGAUGGACGGAAGGGCCUCCCGGCCUUGCCCAGUAGCGUCCACAGUGUCCUUGGUGUCUGGGGUGGGAGGCCAGGCCUUGUGACUUCUCCACAGGCCCCCUCGCCCCCCAGCCUGUGUCCAGUCCUGGCCUUGGCUCUUCCUGUCUCCCUCCCACAGCGGCUCAUGGAGGUGUUGACCUCAGACAGCAGGUGUGCCGUGGUGAGGCCCACGGGCCUCUGCCCCCUGUGGCCGUGUCUGCUGAGCGCCGUGUCUGCGCGGGGAUGCCGCAUGUUCCUUAGCGUCCGGCCUGGCCCUAUGGCUCGAGCCGGGGGAGCAUGCCGAUGGGGUUCCCACAGCCUUUGGAGGGGCUCUGUGACCCUGCACCCCUCCCCCGGCUCACCCACACAUGGUCUCAUGUGCAGCAGACUGCCAACAUCACAUCUGUGGCCAGGGCAGGACUGCAGGCCCCGUGUGACCGUGUCGGCCGCCACUCUGUCCUGGCCUCGUCCGUGGGCCUCCGGGGCUCCCGGCUCUCGGGGUGCGCUCCAUUCCCCUUCCCAGCGGUCACACUGCCUUUGCUUCUGCUGGAGUCUGGUGCAGCCCGCGUGGCACUCGGUGGCUUCGAGGGUGGCGUGGGUUUGUGACCUCUGUCCUAGCAGAGAGCUGACCACAGAGCUGAGGCGGGGACCUGGGGCGUGGCAGUGGGGGAGGGGCGGGGUCACCCCUCCUCCUGCCGGGUUUGGUGUCCUGAGGACCAGCCUUCAGGGUGGGGGGCGUGCCCAUGGCCUGCAAGCGAUGGAGGCCAGCCUGGGCAGCCACGCCCCAGGCUCCCAGGUCUGCCCCUGGGGUGGGGCGCUCAUGCAUCCCGGGGUCUGGUGGGCUGGCCUCACUGCACGCUCUAGCAGCAGUGGGUGUGAGAAGGCCUCUCGGGGAAUCUUUGCUUCCUUAGCCCUUCUUCACCACCUCAGUGGCAGCAGUGGACAAGACAGGGGACAGGUCUGA
rnacentral:lncRNA from 1 species